rnacentral:rRNA from 1 species
UACGGAAGGCAGCAGUGGGGAAUAUUGGACAAUGGGCGAAAGCCUGAUCCAGCCAUGCCGCAUGAGUGAAGAAGGCCUUCGGGUUGUAAAGCUCUUUUAGUGAGAAAGAUAAUGACGGUACUCACAGAAGAAGUCCUGGCUAACUCCGUGCCAGCAGCCGCGGUAAUACGGAGAGGGCUAGCGUUAAUCGGAAUUACUGGGCGUAAAGGGCACGCAGGCGGUUAAUUAAGUUGGAUGUGAAAUCCCCGGGCUUAACCUGGGAAUGGCAUUCAAGACUGGUUAGCUAGAGUCUUGUAGAGGGGGUAGAAUUCCAUGUGUAGCGGUGAAAUGCGUAGAGAUGUGGAGGAAUACCGGUGGCGAAGGCGGCCCCUGGACAAAGACUGACGCUCAUGUGCGAAAGCGUGGGGAGCAAACAGGGAUUAGAUACCCGU